rfam:Rachicladosporium antarcticum strain CCFEE 5527 scaffold_31, whole genome shotgun sequence.
GCCGGCUUGGCUCAGUGGUAAAGCGAUUCACUCGUAUGCGACAUGAAUAGAUCGGAGGUUCGAUUCCUCCAGUCGGCA